rnacentral:rRNA from 1 species
UACGGAGGGUGCAAGCGUUAUCCGGAUUCACUGGGUUUAAAGGGUGCGUAGGUGGGGAGGUAAGUCAGCGGUGAAAUCCCCGAGCUUAACUUGGGAACUGCCAUUGAUACUGUCUCUCUUGAAUAUCUUGGAGGUGAGCGGAAUAUGUCAUGUAGCGGUGAAAUGCUUAGAUAUGACAUAGAACACCAAUUGCGAAGGCAGCUCACUACACGGUAAUUGACACUGAGGCACGAAAGCGUGGGGAUCAAACAGG